AGAGAGCUAGUCCAAGCUAAGACUUCUGAUUUCGGCUCAGGUAAUUCUGGUUAAAUUCCAGAGCCCUCUU
rnacentral:tRNA from 1 species